UCUGUUAUCAUAUGUGAGCUUGCGCCUGA
rnacentral:piRNA from 1 species